CAGGUCUUCGGAUGCUGACGAAGUGGCGAACGGGUGAGUAAUACAUCGGAACGUGCCCAGUAAUGGGGGAUAGCUCGGCGAAAGCCGGAUUAAUACCGCAUACGCCCUGAGGGGGAAAGUGGGGGAUCGCAAGACCUCACGUUAUUGGAGCGGCCGAUGGCUGAUUAGCUAGUUGGUAGGGUAAAGGGCUACCAAUGCGACGAUCAGUAGCUGGUCUGAGAGGACGAUCAGCCACACUGGGACUGAGACACGGCCCAGACUCCUACGGGAGGCAGCCAGUGGGGAAUUUUGGACAAUGGGGGAAACCCUGAUCCAGCAAUGCCGCGUGUGCGAAGAAGGCCUUCGGGUUGUAAAGCACUUUUGUCAGGGAAGAAAUCCUUUGGGCUAAUACCCUANGGGGAUGACGGUACCUGAAGAAUAAGCACCGGCUAACUACGUGCCAGCAGGCGCGGUAAUACGUACGGGUGCAAGCGUUAAUCGGAAUUACUUGGGCGUAAAGCGUGCGCAGGCGGUUGUGUAAGACAGGUGUGAAAUCCCCGGGCUUAACCUGGGAAUUGCAUUUGUGACUGCACGACUAGAGUGUGUCAGAGGGGGG
rnacentral:rRNA from 1 species